AUGCAAGUCGAGCGGUAAGGCCCCUUCGGGGGUACACGAGCGGCGAACGGGUGAGUAACACGUGAGCAACCUACCCUCAACUUUGGGAUAAGCCUCGGAAACGGGGUCUAAUACCGGAUAAUAUCGACUGUCUCAUGAUGGUUGGUUGAAAGUUCUGGCGGUUGGGGAUGGGCUCGCGGCCUAUCAGCUUGUUGGUGGGGUAAUGGCCUACCAAGGCGUCGACGGGUAGCCGGCCUGAGAGGGCGACCGGCCACACUGGGACUGAGACACGGCCCAGACUCCUACGGGAGGCAGCAGUGGGGAAUAUUGCGCAAUGGACGGAAGUCUGACGCAGCAACGCCGCGUGAGGGAUGACGGCCUUCGGGUUGUAAACCUCUUUCAGCAGGGACGAAGCGAGAGUGACGGUACCUGCAGAAGAAGGACCGGCCAACUACGUGCCAGCAGCCGGG
rnacentral:rRNA from 1 species